CGCGGCCUAUCAGCUUGUUGGUGGGGUAAUGGCCUACCAAGGCGACGACGGGUAGCCGGCCUGAGAGGGUGACCGGCCACACUGGGACUGAGACACGGCCCAGACUCCUACGGGAGGCAGCAGUGGGGAAUAUUGGACAAUGGGCGAAAGCCUGAUCCAGCAACGCCGCGUGAGGGAUGACGGCCUUCGGGUUGUAAACCUCUUUCAGCAGGGACGAAGCGCAAGUGACGGUACCUGCAGAAGAAGCACCGGCCAACUACGUGCCAGCAGCCGCGGUAAUACGUAGGGUGCGAGCGUUGUCCGGAAUUAUUGGGCGUAAAGGGCUCGCAGGCGGUUUGUCACGUCGGGAGUGAAAACUCGGGGCUUAACCCCGAGCCUGCUUCCGAUACGGGCUGACUAGAGGUAUGCAGGGGAGAACGGAAUUCCUGGUGUAGCGGUGAAAUGCGCAGAUAUCAGGAGGAACACCGGUGGCGAAGGCGGUUCUCUGGGCAUUACCUGACGCUGAGGAGCGAAAGUGUGGGGAGCGAACAGGAUUAGAUACCCUGGUAGUCCACACCGUAAACGUUGGGCGCUAGGUGUGGGACUCAUUCCACGAGUUCCGUGCCGCAGCUAACGCAUUAAGCGCCCCGCCUGGGGAGUACGGA
rnacentral:rRNA from 1 species